rnacentral:rRNA from 1 species
AUUGAACGCUGGCGGCAUGCCUUACACAUGCAAGUCGAACGGCAGCACGGGGGCAACCCUGGUGGCGAGUGGCGAACGGGUGUGUAAUACAUCGGAACGUGUCCUUUCGUGGGGGAUAACCAGUCGAAAGACUGGCUAAUACCGCAUGAGAUCUCACGAUGAAAGCGAGGGACCGCAAGGCCUCGCGCGAUUGGAGCGGCCGAUGUCGGAUUAGCUAGUUGGCGGGGUAAAAGCCCACCAAGGCGACGAUCUGUAGCUGGUCUGAGAGGACGACCAGCCACACUGGAACUGAGACACGGUCCAGACUCCUACGGGAGGCAGCAGUGGGGAAUUUUGGACAAUGGGCGAAAGCCUGAUCCAGCCAUUCCGCGUGCAGGAUGAAGGCCCUCGGGUUGUAAACUGCUUUUGUACAGAACGAAAAGGUUUCUACUAAUACUAGGAGCUCAUGACGGUACUGUAAGAAUAAGCACCGGCUAACUACGUGCCAGCCGCCGCUGUAA